AGAUGGGACGAUUCAUCCACUUUGUUCAGAGCCAAAAUAUCCAGCUAUGGAGAGUGCGCCUGGGAAGCCUCUACAUUGGUGUGCAUUUCAAUAAUCUCAAAAACAUCUGCAGUACCCUUCUCCACAGACUCUUCUGACGCAGUUUGAAAAUGUUAUAUAGGUGGGAAAUUUCCGUAGCAGAAUGAAGUAUAAAUACUUAUAAACUCACAAUGAGGACGUGAGGCAAAGCGAUUCAAUCCUACAGUUGGCACUAAAACUUUGGUCCCCUGGAGCAAUUCUGUCAUCUUGACCUGAAUAUGGUUCUUCUAUAUACAUUCUGAAGAAUGGCAGUGUGUGACAGGCUUAUGUCGCUCAUGGGGCCUUUAGUUUAUGCAUUCCUGGCACAGCUCUUGCAGUAGCUCAAAACUCCUGGCAGGCUAAGAUACAGAAUGCUUCCAUUGUUUCUGUAUUCCAUCAGAGAUCUAUGUAGGCUGCAGGAAGUUUAAGGGCAGUCCACUGCAUGCAGGAAGAUGACAAAAGGAUGCAAGGUUAUGCAGAAGAGCCAAUUGCUACAUAGCAGCUUCAUCUCCCUGUCUUCCCAGGCUCCCAGGACUCAGAUAUGAAUACACAUGCUCUUCUGUCCUUAAAUUACAUCUGUACUAACCUGAUAUAGUCUCCAGGCCUCCCUUUUCUGGGCAACAUGGUAGAAUUCUUGGGCCAGAGGAAUCUCCGUCAACUGUUUAUCUUUCUGAGCAAUUAUUUGCUACUUGAGAAAAAAAAAAGAAGUUACUAGUUUAAAUAAAAAAUAAAAAUACAGAUUAAAAAAA
rnacentral:lncRNA from 1 species